GCCCAGGUGGCGAAAUAGGUAGACGCAAGGGACUUAAAAUCCCUCGGUCGCAAGACCGUGCUGGUUCAAGUCCAGUCUUGGGCA
rnacentral:tRNA from 2 species